rnacentral:rRNA from 1 species
GAUGAACGCUGGCGGCGUGCCUAAUACAUGCAAGUCGAGCGAACGGACGAGAAGCUUGCUUCUCUGAUGUUAGCGGCGGACGGGUGAGUAACACGUGGAUAACCUACCUAUAAGACUGGGAUAACUUCGGGAAACCGGAGCUAAUACCGGAUAAUAUUUUGAACCGCAUGGUUCAAAAGUGAAAGACGGUCUUGCUGUCACUUAUAGAUGGAUCCGCGCUGCAUUAGCUAGUUGGUAAGGUAACGGCUUACCAAGGCAACGAUGCAUAGCCGACCUGAGAGGGUGAUCGGCCACACGGGAACUGGGACACCGUCCAGACUCCUACGAGAGGCAGCAGUAGCGUAUCUUCCGCAAUGGGCGAGAGCCUGACGGAGCGACGCCGCGUGAGUGAUGGAGGUCCUCGGAUCGUAAAACUCUGUUACUAGGGAAGAACAUAUGUGUAAGUUACUGUGCACAGCUUGACGGUACCUAGUCAGAAAGCCCCGGCUAACUACGUG